AAGAAGUGAUGUGCACUUUUAGUGGAAUGUUCUUCCUCAUCCAUUGAUUUUUGACAGCAUCAUAUUCAAAGCCAAGUUUCCAGUAAGGUGCUUAUUGAAGAAGGACUUUUAAAGGAAGAAUGAGAGAAAUUUUGAGGUGUGAGAGAAAUUUUGAGGUGUAUACUUCCACUACACAUGUCCCAAUAUUUUAAAUAUAACUUUCUAUACAAAACUUCACAUGAGGUGAUUCUUAGACCAUAGGAAAGAUAAGA